rfam:Salimicrobium flavidum strain DSM 23127 genome assembly, contig: Ga0111645_103
GCGCCCGUAGCUCAGCUGGAUAGAGCGAUAGAUUCCGGUUCUAUAGGUCGGGGGUUCAAGUCCUCUCGGGCGCA